rnacentral:tRNA from 1 species
GCCCCUGUAGUUGAAUCACAACAGAAGCUUUUCACGCUUCAAGCCUGAGUUAAAAUCUCAGCAGGAGCU